AUCACGCCCAACCCCCUGGCCACAAACCCCACAGUCCCAGCUGGAGGAUGAGGAGAUGCUGGGCUUAGGUGAGGGAAUCAUGGGUAUAAAGGGGCCUGCU
rnacentral:miRNA from 1 species